GACCUCCGAAGUUAAGCAAUGUCGUGCCUGGUUAGUACUUAGAUGGGUGACCGCUUAGAAAUGCCAAGUGUUGUAAG